rnacentral:rRNA from 1 species
AUUGAACGCUGGCGGCAGGCCUAACACAUGCAAGUCGAGCGGAUGAAGGGGGCUUGCUCCUGGAUUCAGCGGCGGACGGGUGAGUAAUGCCUAGGAAUCUGCCUGGUAGUGGGGGAUAACGUCCGGAAACGGGCGCUAAUACCGCAUACGUCCUGAGGGAGAAAGUGGGGGAUCUUCGGACCUCACGCUAUCAGAUGAGCCUAGGUCGGAUUAGCUAGUUGGUGGGGUAAAGGCCUACCAAGGCGACGAUCCGUAACUGGUCUGAGAGGAUGAUCAGUCACACUGGAACUGAGACACGGUCCAGACUCCUACGGGAGGCAGCAGUGGGGAAUAUUGGACAAUGGGCGAAAGCCUGAUCCAGCUAUGCCGCGUGUGUGAAGAAGGUCUUCGGAUUGUAAAGCACUUUAAGUUGGGAGGAAGGGCAGUAAGUUAAUACCUUGCUGUUUUGACGUUACCAACAGAAUAAGCACCGGCUAACUUCGUG